GAUGAACGCUGGCGGCGUGCCUAAUACAUGCAAGUCGAGCGAACGGACGAGAAGCUUGCUUCUCUGAUGUUAGCGGCGGACGGGUGAGUAACACGUGGAUAACCUACCUAUAAGACUGGGAUAACUUCGGGAAACCGGAGCUAAUACCGGAUAAUAUUUUGAACCGCAUGGUUCAAAAGUGAAAGACGGUCUUGCUGUCACUUAUAGAUGGAUCCGCGCUGCAUUAGCUAGUUGGUAAGGUAACGGCUUACCAAGGCAACGAUGCAUAGCCGACCUGAGAGGGUGAUCGGCCACACUGGAACUGAGACACGGUCCAGACUCCUACGGGAGGCAGCAGUAGGGAAUCUUCCGCAAUGGGCGAAAGCCUGACGGAGCAACGCCGCGUGAGUGAUGAAGGUCUUCGGAUCGUAAAACUCUGUUAUUAGGGAAGAACAUAUGUGUAAGUAACUGUGCACAUCUUGACGGUACCUAAUCAGAAAGCCACGGCUAACUACGUGCCAGCAGCCGCGGUAAUACGUAGGUGGCAAGCGUUAUCCGGAAUUAUUGGGCGUAAAGCGCGCGUAGGCGGUUUUUUAAGUCUGAUGUGAAAGCCCACGGCUCAACCGUGGAGGGUCAUUGGAAACUGGAAAACUUGAGUGCAGAAGAGGAAAGUGGAAUUCCAUGUGUAGCGGUGAAAUGCGCAGAGAUAUGGAGGAACACCAGCGGCGAAGGCGACUUUCUGGUCUGUAACUGACGCUGAUGUGCGAAAGCGUGGGGAUCAAACAGGAUUAGAUACCCUGGUAGUCCACGCCGUAAACGAUGAGUGCUAAGUGUUAGGGGGUUUCCGCCCCUUAGUGCUGCAGCUAACGCAUUAAGCACUCCGCCUGGGGAGUACGACCGCAAGGUUGAAACUCAAAGGAAUUGACGGGGACCCGCACAAGCGGUGGAGCAUGUGGUUUAAUUCGAAGCAACGCGAAGAACCUUACCAAAUCUUGACAUCCUUUGACAACUCUAGAGAUAGAGCCUUCCCCUUCGGGGGACAAAGUGACAGGUGGUGCAUGGUUGUCGUCAGCUCGUGUCGUGAGAUGUUGGGUUAAGUCCCGCAACGAGCGCAACCCUUAAGCUUAGUUGCCAUCAUUAAGUUGGGCACUCUAAGUUGACUGCCGGUGACAAACCGGAGGAAGGUGGGGAUGACGUCAAAUCAUCAUGCCCCUUAUGAUUUGGGCUACACACGUGCUACAAUGGACAAUACAAAGGGCAGCGAAACCGCGAGGUCAAGCAAAUCCCAUAAAGUUGUUCUCAGUUCGGAUUGUAGUCUGCAACUCGACUACAUGAAGCUGGAAUCGCUAGUAAUCGUAGAUCAGCAUGCUACGGUGAAUACGUUCCCGGGUCU
rnacentral:rRNA from 1 species